UACGAGGGGGGCGAGCGUUGUUCGGAAUUAUUGGGCGUAAAGGGUGCGUAGGCGGUUCGGUAAGUUUCGCGUGAAAUCUUCGGGCUCAACUCGAAGUCUGCACGAGAUACUGCCGGGCUUGAGUGUGGGAGAGGUGAGUGGAAUUUCCGGUGUAGCGGUGAAAUGCGUAGAUAUCGGAAGGAACACCUGUGGCGAAAGCGGCUCACUGGACCAUAACUGACGCUGAGGCACGAAAGCUAGGGGAGCAAACAGG
rnacentral:rRNA from 1 species